rnacentral:tRNA from 1 species
UCCCUGGUAGUCCAGUGGUUAAGACUCCACACUCCGGAUGCAGAAGGCCCAGGUUCGACCCCUGGUCACGGAA